ensembl:lncRNA
CUGGGACAACAAAUGGAAGUGUGAGUCGCCUGAAUUGUUACUUUUGAACCCAGGAAACCCCUCAUCAUGAAGCACUGGAGCUCUUGAGUUUGAGAUGAACGCACUGGAGGAAACCCUGAGGGAAUGAUUAAUUAAAUGAACCCUACAUGCCUCAAUUCAAGCCCUGCGAGAAGACAGAACUUGAGUGCAUAUUUUCUGAAUGAUCAAGGCUUGAUCGACCGACAUCAGCAUGAUGACAGACGUUUAAAGAUGAGAUCAGUGGACCUACAGGCACCACAGUCUCCUUCCCAGCAUUCCCUUUACCCAUAUCUCUCCCUACAAUGUGCAAACACCAAGCACUCCCUUUCUAUGUGACCCCACGAUGCAAAGCUCUUCAUGCACUGAAAUGAUUUCAUGGCCAAAGCAUUAAUGAGAUGAUAUCACUUCACCCCCCCACCCAAAACUCUGUUCAGUAACACCACAGUUUUCCGCUGACAUCACUGUGCACAAUUCAUGUCAGACGAGGCC